CGGAUUCGGAUGGAUGUUACCCGAUCCGCUUUCACCCCCUUCUUCCUACCUGUUCGCUCCUGCAACACUCCUGUAUGAGUGUCGAGAGAGAUCGAUCGACGGUGAUCUCGUCACAUCGCGUCUUCCCUCUUCGCCCGCCGUCUUCGGUUCGAUUAGUCGUGCUAUCCUCGUCCUCGGCCACGGCGGCGUUCAUUCGAGAUAACUCCAAGGCUCGGGUUCUUCAUUAUUGGCCUCGUCGUCCGAUUCCAGAUCAGAGUUUUCUUUUUGUAGACUAAGAAGUCUUACAUGGUUAAUUUGUUGUUCUUACUCGAGUAGAGGAUUGGAUUCGAAAAGAAACAUGACGAUCUUAUUUUCAAGGGGAAGGCGGAAAAGCAAGCUUAUGCUGGAAAGAGGAGAAAACAAAGAGUAUCUUCCUGUUGAAGGUUUAGCUGCAUUUAAUAAGGUCACUGCAGACCUAUUGUUUGGAGUAGAUAAUCGUGUAAUCCAGGAAGGAAGGGCAGCACCAAAUGGAUCUUUCAUCCUAUUACAUGGAUGUGCACACAAUCCGACAGGAAUCGAUCCAACUCCUCAGCAAAGGGAAAAGAUUUGCUGAUGCUACUCAAGAGAAGAAGAACAUCCCAUACUUUGACAUUGCCUACCAGGGUUUUGCUAGUGGAAGCCUCGAUGCAGAUGCAUAUUCUAUUAGCCUGUUUGUGGAUCGUGGUUUGGAGCUUCUGGUUGCUCAGUCUUACAGUAAAAAAUUAGGUUUGUAUGCAGAAAGAAUUGGAGCUAUAAAUGUUGUUUGCUUAUCUUCAGAUGCAGCAGCAAGGGUAAAAAUCCAGCUGAAAAGAUUAGCCCGGCCAAUGUAUUCAAAUCCUCCUGUUCAUGGUGCUCGGAUUGUUGCCAACAUUGUCCGAGAUCCAAAUCUUUUCGAUGAACGGAAACAAGAGAUGGAACUAAUGGCUGGACGAAUAAAGAAUGUUAGGCGGAGACUCCAUGAGAAUCUCUCUCAAAAAGAUGAGCGCAGGAGUGAUUGGUCUUGUAUCCUCAAGCAGAUUGGCAUGCCCUCAUAUACUGGUUUGAACAAAGCACAGUGCGAGUGGCUGCAGAUUUGGGUGAUGAGAGUUCCCCUAGAUGCAAGGGACAUGAACCCAAAGUGCAGCAAACAAGAUGGUUACAGUCUAACUUCCAUCACCGGCCAUUACACAGAGAAGCAUUGGGUGGCUCGGUGCCCUGAAGACAUCCCCGACUACAAACUUCCAUCCCGAGAGCUCUUCGUUCAUCUGAGCCUGUGCCUCCUUGUCGAGCUCCUCAUACCGAGUCAGAUCCCUUCGAACGGUCCUCAACAGGAUCACGAGACCGAUACCGGCAAGGAAAAGCGAUCACCAUUAGCGAAUUGA